GAAUCCCAGAUACUCGGGAGGCUGAGGUGGGAGAAUUGCUUGAACCCAGGAGGCAGAGGUUACAGUGAGCUGAGAUCGUGCUACUGCAUUCCAGCUCCGGCAACAGAGGGAGACUCUGUCUCAAAAAAAAAAAAAAAAAAAAAAAAAAGUAUGUCUGCAAGUAACCACACAACUGCAUACUGCAUAUAUUUAUUUCAUGACAAUCCUUCCUUGAACCCCUGCUCUGAACGAUACUGGGGACCCAGUGGUGACCCAGAUGUCCUGGCUCUGCCCUCCCGGGCCACAUAGGCUAGCAGGGCAAGAGUGUUUGUGAUGAAAGUCAGUGAUUGCGUGAAUGUGUGUGUGAUUGACAGUGUUGUUGGGAUUGUGGGACACUAUGAGUGUUACUGUGUGUGUGCAGGAGUCCAUGGCCCCGGGUGUGUGACUGUGUUUCACUGUCAAUGACUGUCAACCUGUGAGUGAGAGACUGUGGCUGUCUGGGUGUGACCGUGGGACUGUAUGGGUGUGAUUGAAUGUGUGACUGUGUGAGUAACAGCUUGUGAGGUUCUAUGACUGUGCCUUUCUAUGGCUCAGCCUAUCGGAUUGUGUGUGACACUGCAUGUUUGAUUGAGUGACUGAGGCUGUGGGAAUGAGUGGCAGUUGGGGGUGGGUACCUGUGGGUGGGACAGCAUGAGAGAUUGUACACACUUGGUGCAGGGGUCCUCAGGACGAUAAGGACAAUUCAGUAACUGCCCUCACUGACGACCUUGACUACUGCCCCCUGCUCGGCUCUCUGGCUCUCUGCCCCAGAGCUCCCCACUUCCGUUCCCUGUCCCGCCUUGGCCCCGCCCCCUCCCACCACCCUGGGCUGCCAGUGCCUGUCACCUCUCCCAGAGCCCAGACGAGGCAGUGGAGGCAGCGGUGGCAGGGGGCUGCAGGAGCAAGUGACCAGGAGCAGGACGGGGGACAGAUCAUCACGCCUGGGAGUUGGGGGAGCGGGUGUGCUGCCUCGGAGUCCGCGUGUGUGAAUCCUUGAGACGGGGUGACGCUGGGGUUGGAGUCGGAGGGCAGAGGUGCUGACCCUGUCCUGGGACCUUCCGGGCCUGAUCGCCCCUACACGAACCAGACC
rnacentral:lncRNA from 1 species